GCUGGUUUCCGUGGUGUAGUGGUUAUCACGUGCGCCUCACAUGCGCAAGGUCGCGGGAUCGAAUCCCGGCCGCGGCGGCU